rnacentral:lncRNA from 1 species
UUUAUUAGCUCUGUUGACUUGUAAUGUAAAAAACUAAUUUCGACACCGAACCACCGGUGAUUAAAAUAGUGGUAUUUGACAUCAAACUACUGGUGGUUAAGAAUAGUAGUAUUUGGCACUUUGUAUAUUCUGACUUAUGCCACCAGGUUACAUAGCCAUAGCCUGAUAUUAGGUUCCUAUUAUCAGUUUAUAAAAAUAAUAGGAGUUCAUUAUUUCUUCUUGUUUAUUUUUCAGAUCCCGCUUUAUUUAUUUAUCAUACUUAGACCCCACUUUGAAGUGUUAUGUUGCUUACUGAACUAGUGUAGCUCAUUAUUUUUACUUGUUUGUUUUUCAGAUCCAGAUUCAUGAUUGCUUGGGACUUGAAGGAGUGUACGAAGCCUUCUGAAGAUAUUCUCAGUGAUUGAAGUUCUAGUUAGACUAUUUAGAAUUUUUUUAUUUAAAUAAAUGGUUGGCAUAUGUUGACUUAUGUCACUUUGGAAUGGUUGAUUGUAAGAAUUAUUUGUAUAAGAUCUGGAUUAAAUUAAUUUUCAAGAUCAUUAUUGUUUUGAUAUGAUCUCUAGUCUUGCAUGUUUGUAUGGUCCAUCAUGCAGGUAUGCAGCAUCUGUUAUGCUUUGGAUUUGGG